rnacentral:piRNA from 1 species
UGGAUUCUCUAGCCCAAAGCCAAUGAGCUAC